rnacentral:rRNA from 1 species
GACGUAGGGCGCGAGCGUUGUCCGGAUUUAUUGGGCGUAAAGAGCUCGUAGGCGGCUUGUCGCGUCGUCCGUGAAAACCCACAGCUCAACUGUGGGCUUGCGGUCGAUACGGGCAGGCUAGAGUUCGGUAGGGGAGACUGGAAUUCCUGGUGUAGCGGUGAAAUGCGCAGAUAUCAGGAGGAACACCGGUGGCGAAGGCGGAUCUCUGGGCCUUACCUGACGCUGAGGCGCGAAAGCUAGGGGAGCGAACAGG